AAAACAACACCACCAUGAGCUUUAUUUUUGUUUUUUCUUUCUUUUCUUUUUCUUUGCUCCAUAAUUUCAAUGGUGACUUAUUGUUCUUGUUUCUUUUCACACUUUCACUUUUUUUAAAACACCACUUUUUCAAGUUUUUAUCAUCUCUUCUAAAUUAUUCUCCCCAACUUUAGACUUCAAGACAAAAUUUAUGCAAUAAUGCUCCCUA
rnacentral:lncRNA from 1 species